UACAGAGGUCCCAAGCGUUGUUCGGAUUCAUUGGGGCGUAAAGGGUGCGUAGGCGGUCGGGUAAGUCGGAUGUGAAAUCUCAGGGCUCAACCCUGAAACUGCAUUCGAUACUGCCUGGCUAGGGUACUGGAGAGGAGACUGGAAUUUACGGUGUAGCAGUGAAAUGCGUAGAUAUCGUAAGGAAGACCAGUGGCGAAGGCGAGUCUCUGGACAGUUACCGACGCUGAGGCACGAAGGUCAGGGGAGCAAAACGGG
rnacentral:rRNA from 1 species